UGGGGAAUAUUGCGCAAUGGGGGAAACCCUGACGCAGCGACGCCGCGUGAGUGAAGGAGCGCCUCGGCGCGUAAAGCUCUAUCAGCAGGGAAGAGAGAGGACGGUACCUGACUAAGAAGCCCCGGCUAACUACGUGCCAGCAGCCGCGGUAAUACGUAGGGGGCGAGCGUUAUCCGGAUUUACUGGGUGUAAAGGGAGCGUAGACGGCCAAGCAAGUCUGAAGUGAAAGCCCGUGGCUCAACCGCGGAACGGCUUUGGAAACUGCGGGGCUGGAGUGCUGGAGAGGUAAGCGGAAUUCCUGGUGUAGCGGUGAAAUGCGUAGAUAUCAGGAGGAACACCGGUGGCGAAGGCGGCUUACUGGACAGUAACUGACGUUGAGGCUCGAAAGCGUGGGGAGCGAACAGG
rnacentral:rRNA from 1 species